rnacentral:rRNA from 1 species
GACGAACGCUGGCGGCGUGCCUAAUACAUGCAAGUAGGACGCAGUUGCGAACGGGUGAGUAACGCGUAGGUAACUACCUAUUAGAGGGGGAUAACUAUUGGAAACGAUAGCUAAUACCGCAUACUAGUAGAUGGACCUGCGUUGUAUUAGCUAGUAGGUAGGGUAAUGGCCUACCUAGGCAACGAUACAUAGCCGACCUGAAAGGGGGGUCGGCAAACGUGGAACUGGAAAACGGCCCGGACCCCAACGGGGGGCGGCAGUAGGAAAUCUUCGGAAAUGGGGGGAACCCGGACCGGGCAACGCCGCGUGAGUGAGGAAGGUUUUCGGAUCGUAAAGCUCUGUUGUUAGGGAAGCGGUACUUAACCAGAAAGGGACGGCUAACUACGUGCCAGCAGCCGCGGUAAAC